AGUUUGAUUAUGGCUCAGGAUUAACGCUGGCGGCGUGCCUAAUACAUGCAAGCCGAAUGGUAGCAAUACCAUGGCGAACGGGUGAGUAACACGUAGGUAACCUGUCUUUAAGCCGAGGAUAACCAUUGGAAACGAUGGAUAAUACUGGAUAGGACAUUUGAAGGCAUCUUUAGAUGUUUAAAGAUUUAUCACUUAGAGAGGGGCCUGCGGCGCAUUAGCUAGUUGGUGAGGUGAAGGCUUACCAAGGCGAUGAUGCGUAGCCGGACUGAGAGGUUGAACGGCCACAAUGGAACUGAGAACGGUCCAUACUCCUACGGGAGGCAGCAGUAGGGAAUUUUCGGCAAUGGGCGGAAGCCUGAACCCGAGCAACGCCGCGUGAACGAAGAAGUAUUUCGGUAUGUAAAGUUCUUUUAUUAGGGACGAAAAGACAGAUUGACGGUACCUAAUGAAUAAGCUCCGGCUAACUACGUGCCAGCAGCCGC
rnacentral:rRNA from 1 species